CGCUACAUUAAAACAUUCUGUCAGUUGAGCGGCAAUGUGUGAUGUCAUUUCCUUUGUUAUAUAGAAAGGGAGAUAAGCUUGAUCUUAAGUUAUUCUCCUCCUAUUGUCCUAACUUCUAACCGCAGAAGUGCAACAUGAUCACAGCUCUGCUCAUUUUGCCACUUUGUCUUUUUUCUGGUGAAGUGAAUGGAAGUGGUGUUUUCCAGAAUCCUGAUCAAAUCUGGGGUUCUCCAGGAAGCUCUGUAGAAAUGAACUGCAGUCACAAUAAGGAUAUGAACCACAGACAGAUGUACUGGUUUAAGAAGAUUCCAGGGGAAGGAAUUACACUCCUCGUAUUUACUGUGGUUGGUGGUACACCAGAUUAUGGGGAAUUCAGUGAAGAGAAAUAUGUUGCAGUUAAGACUGUAGUUGAAAGUGGCUCUUUAACAGUGAAGAACUUGGAUUCAGGAGACAGUGGUCUGUAUUUCUGUGCUGUGAGGCAACACUGUGGUGCAAAUUCACUACAGUGCUGUACAAAUACUACUGAAAGAUGCAAAGGCCCUGUGUGGAUAUUCAUUGGGUCUGUAGAUGGGGCUGUGGUUUCUUGUAUUUACUCCGUUAAUCUGCAGCAGAUUAAAGUUCUUGCAUUCAUCUGA